rnacentral:lncRNA from 1 species
CUGCUCCUCAUAACUCUGUGCUCUGGAAGAGUGAUAAUUUGUGCUAUGUACUCACAUGGGAUGGCAGAGAAAGAAGAAGAUGAAAAGUGCAAGGCUUGUCUGGGCUCAAAUUAAGAAUCUGAAUUGGAAGCCACAGAUGCAAUAUCUGUAUAUUAC